GAACGGUAACGGGCCUUCGGGUGCCGACGAGUGGCGAACGGGUGAGUAAUGCAUCGGAACGUACCUUUCAGUGGGGGAUAACGUAGCGAAAGUUACGCUAAUACCGCAUAUUCUGUGAGCAGGAAAGCAGGGGAUCGCAAGACCUUGCGCUGAUUGAGCGGCCGAUGUCAGAUUAGCUAGUUGGUGAGGUAAAGGCUCACCAAGGCGACGAUCUGUAGCGGGUCUGAGAGGAUGAUCCGCCACACUGGAACUGAGACACGGUCCAGACUCCUACGGGAGGCAGCAGUGGGGAAUUUUGGACAAUGGGGGCAACCCUGAUCCAGCCAUGCCGCGUGAGUGAAGAAGGCCUUCGGGUUGUAAAGCUCUUUCGGCCGGGAAGAAAUCGUAUGGGUUAAUACCCUGUGCGGAUGACGGUACCGGCAUAAGAAGCACCGGCUAACUACGUGCCAGCAGCCGCGGUAAUACGUAGGGUGCGAGCGUUAAUCGGAAUUACUGGGCGUAAAGCGUGCGCAGGCGGUUUUGUAAGACAGGCGUGAAAUCCCCGGGCUCAACCUGGGAACUGCGCUUGUGACUGCAAGGCUAGAGUACGGCAGAGGGGGGUGGAAUUCCACGUGUAGCAGUGAAAUGCGUAGAGAUGUGGAGGAACACCAAUGGCGAAGGCAGCCCCCUGGGUCGAUACUGACGCUCAUGCACGAAAGCGUGGGUAGCAAACGGGAUUAGAUACCCUGGUAGUCCACGCCCUAAACGAUGUCAACUAGGUGUUGGGUGGGUAAAACCAUUUAGUACCGUAGCUAACGCGUGAAGUUGACCGCCUGGGGAGUACGGCCGCAAGGUUAAAACUCAAAGGAAUUGACGGGGACCCGCACAAGCGGUGGAUGAUGUGGAUUAAUUCGAUGCAACGCGAAAAACCUUACCUACCCUUGACAUGCCACUAACGAAGUAGAGAUACAUUAGGUGCCCGAAAGGGAAAGUGGACACAGGUGCUGCAUGGCUGUCGUCAGCUCGUGUCGUGAGAUGUUGGGUUAAGUCCCGCAACGAGCGCAACCCUUGUCUUUAGUUGCUACGCAAGAGCACUCUAGAGAGACUGCCGGUGACAAACCGGAGGAAGGUGGGGAUGACGUCAAGUCCUCAUGGCCCUUAUGGGUAGGGCCUCACACGUCAUACAAUGGUCGGAACAGAGGGUUGCCAACCCGCGAGGGGGAGCUAAUCUCAGAAAACCGAUCGUAG
rnacentral:rRNA from 1 species